AGAGUUUGAUCCUGGCUCAGAUUGAACGCUGGCGGCGUGCUUAACACAUGCAAGUCGCGCGUGAAAGGGCUUCGGCCUGAGUAAAGCGGCGCACGGGUGAGUAACGCGUGGAUGAUCUACCCAUGAGUUGGGAAUAACGGCUGGAAACGGUCGCUAAUACCGAAUACGCUCCGAUUUCAACUUCGGGGGAAAGGUGGCCUCUGCUUGCAAGCUACUGCUCAUGGAUGAGUCCGCGUCCCAUUAGCUAGUUGGUGAGGUAACGGCCCACCAAGGCAACAAUGGGUAGCCGGUCUGAGAGGAUGACCGGCCACACUGGGACUGAAA
rnacentral:rRNA from 1 species